rnacentral:rRNA from 1 species
UACGUAGGGUGCGAGCGUUAAUCGGAAUUACUGGGCGUAAAGCGUGUGCAGGCGGUUUGUUAAGACAGAUGUGAAAUCCCCGGGCUUAACCUGGGAACUGCAUUUGUGACUGGCAAGCUAGAGUAUGGCAGAGGGGGGUAGAAUUCCACGUGUAGCAGUGAAAUGCGUAGAGAUGUGGAGGAAUACCGAUGGCGAAGGCAGCCCCCUGGGUCAAGAUUGACGCUCAUGCACGAAAGCGUGGGGAGCAAACAGG